UCGUCAGCUCGUGCCGUGAGGUGUUGGUUAAGUCCCGCAACGAGCGCAACCCCUACCUGCCAGUUACUAACAGGUAACGCUGAGGACUCUGGCGGAACUGCCGGUGACAAACCGGAGGAAGGUGGGGAUGACGUCAAGUCAUCAUGGCCCCUAUGUCCAGGGCUACACACGUGCUACAAUGGGCGAUACAGAGUGACGCGAAGCCGCGAGGUGGAGCAAAUCGCAGAAAAUCGCUCUCAGUUCGGAUUGGAGUCUGAAACCCGACUCCGUGAAGCUGGAUUCGCUAGUAAUCGCGCAUCAGCCAUGGCGCGGUGAAUACGUUCCCGGGCCUU
rnacentral:rRNA from 1 species